rnacentral:rRNA from 1 species
CAGCAGCCACGGAAAUACGUAGGGGGCAAGCGUUAUCCGGAAUUACUGGGUGUAAAGGGAGCGUAGACGGUUAAACAAGUCUGAGGUGAAAUGCCGGGGCCCAACCCCGGAGCUGCUUUGGGAACUGUAGGACUGGAGUGUCGGAGGGGUAAGCGGAAUUCCCAGUGUAGCGGUGAAAUGCGUAGAUAUUGGGAGGAACACCGGCGGCGAAGGCGGCUUACCGGACGACAACUGACGUUGAGGCUCGAAGGCGUGGGUAGCAAACAGGAUUAGAUACCCGGGUAGUCCCUGUCUCUUAUAC